GACGAACGCUGGCGGCGUGCUUAACACAUGCAAGUCGCACGAGGACGGGAGCUUGCUCCCGAGCCGAGUGGCGGACGGGUGAGUAACACGUGACCAACCUGUCCUAGGGUGAGGGACAACCUGGGGAAACCCGGGCUAAUACCGCAUGAUGUCUCGAGGUCGCAUGGCCAUGAGAUCAAAGAGGGCCUCUGCUUGCAAGCUCUCGCCUUGGGAGGGGGUCGCGGCGUAUCAGCUAGUUGGUGAGGUAACGGCCCACCAAGGCUACGACGCGUAGCGGGUCUGAGAGGACGACCCGCCUCAUUGGGACUGAGAUGCGGCCCAGACUCCUACGGGAGGCAGCAGUGGGGAAUAUUGCGCAAUGGACGAAAGUCUGACGCAGCGACGCCGCGUGUGGGAGGAAGCUCUUCGGGGUGUAAACCACUGUCAGGAGGGAAGAAACUCGCCGUACCGAAUAGGGCCGGCGAUUGACGGUACCUCCAAAGGAAGCGCCGGCUAACUCCGUGCC
rnacentral:rRNA from 1 species